AUAGCAUUAGUCAAGACUACUUCGAGCAGCGGGCAUGUGGUACCAGCGAAAUAGCGCACAUUAGAAGACUCCGGGUAUCCACUGCGGGAACACGGGACACCUUAUGAUUUCUGCAAGCGGCGCCGCAGAAGAAUCCCCGAGGCUAUAACGCCAUACAAAAGAAGGCGCGCUCCACUAUAGAGCUAACAUUUGGGAUAUUAAAAGUUACACCACCACCAUGGCCACUACUGUCUGAUCUGUGAUCCGUGCUGUGCCUAUACGCGAAGACCGUACUCCCGACGACGGCGAUGAAAAUAACACUGCCGGCUUUUCAAGGAGCUACAUUACCAGCUGAUAAUGCAACUAUUACCCAAUGCCCCGUACCUACGUAGUAUAGAAGAAGACUAAGACUUAUCUACUAUAUAAGCAGAGGCUAGCAAACUAGUCUUAUUUCCUAUGAGGCCAUGCUGUGGUAAUUAUUAAAUUCACCUUAGAAAGCUAAUGUAAGGCAUAAGGAUAAUAAGGCACAUAUAUUUGAAUCGCCUCCUUUACAGGAAUAAAUUGUGUAAUUUAUUGUACCUGCUAGUUAAACUAAUACACGAUUAGCAGCACUAAGAGUUGUAUUGGCCAAGUUGACUACGGAGUAAUAUACCUAGCAGGUACAAUAAAUUACAUUUGUUUCUGAGUGAUUUAAAAUAUGUGUCUUAACCAGACACAGAUUGUGCCGAUUGUGUUAUUAACUAUGAUUGCAUAACUUUGUCUAGUAUAGUUCUGAAUAUUUGACCAUCGAUAUAAAUGAUGUAGAUAUACAAAGAUAGAUAGAUAGAAUACUUUAAAAUUUAAAGAUGUAUAAUGCGUGUGUUUAUUUCUUAAGAUGUAUGUAUUGUUCAAAAUUCCAUGGCAGAAUUUUGUUACAAAACAAUCAGUGUAGUAGUAUAGUAUAUAACGAUAAGCAAACAUGUUACUCGUAAAGGAAUAAUUACACACGAACGAAAUAUAUAAGACUUGUAAUGUAAAAAUCUAAAUGUUAUAUUAUAUCUGAGUUGUGUAAACUUCGAAAACUUUUGGCUGUGGCGGCGAACAAUUAUUUCAUGACACGGCAGGCGUGCCUUACGCCAUAGAAUAUGAUCGCACGCCUGUCGUGUCAUGCGCCACACGUUGAAAUCAUUGAUGACACGCCUGUCGUGCCAACCGCACCGAAACGGUUAUAAAUGUACCUAUGAUAAAUAAUUUUAUAAGGUUAG